GACGAACGCUAGCGGCGUGCUUAACACAUGCAAGUCGAACGAAGAGCGAUGGAAGCUUGCUUCUAUCAAUCUUAGUGGCGAACGGGUGAGUAACGCGUAAUCAACCUGCCCUUCAGAGGGGGACAACAGUUGGAAACGACUGCUAAUACCGCAUACGAUCUAAUCUCGGCAUCGAGGAUAGAUGAAAGGUGGCCUCUACAUGUAAGCUAUCACUGAAGGAGGGGAUUGCGUCUGAUUAGCUAGUUGGAGGGGUAACGGCCCACCAAGGCGAUGAUCAGUAGCCGGUCUGAGAGGAUGAACGGCCACAUUGGGACUGAGACACGGCCCAGACUCCUACGGGAGGCAGCAGUGGGGAAUCUUCCGCAAUGGACGAAAGUCUGACGGAGCAACGCCGCGUGAGUGAUGACGGCCUUCGGGUUGUAAAGCUCUGUUAAUCGGGACGAAAGGCCUUCUUGCGAACAGUUAGAAGGAUUGACGGUACCGGAAUAGAAAGCCACGGCUAACUACGUG
rnacentral:rRNA from 1 species